GCGAACUCGGUUCCUCCCUGCGCACGCGCGACAGCGUUUGUGAUGGUCCAGCGAGUCCCUAUUCUCCUCCUCCUGCUCCAGCGGCUGCCGGCUGUAGGCCCUACGAGAGACUGCUGGCUUGGGGCGCAGCCCGUACCUCUGGGAGAGGCCACAAAGGGGUCGGAGAGCGCGGUCCUGUGCACAGUUAGGGUUAAGUCCGCUCAGUCUCCAUUGGGCCCUGAUCCUGAAGUUCUGUGCCCUCCGAAGAAAGGGCCUAUUCACGUUUCCUGGAGACGCCGGAGGUGCCCAGCUUGUGCUCACCACUCAAGCAGCUCUCCCCUUGCUGGAGGUGUGGGUUGGAGAAUUGCAGAAUUUCCCUCUCGGCCCGAAUGAGCCAUUACCAAAGCAUUUUGUCAAAAAUAGUGAAGUUAGUUUGGCCUUCCAAGGUUAGGUGGUGUGGUAGAUUGCGGGACCGAGGUUCAGAAUUUCUGGGGGCUGUAUCCCCGAGCCCCACUCCUCAGAAUGCAACUCUGUACGACGAAGGAACUGGGUAAUCCGCAUUUCAGCCAAUUUAGCAGAUGACUAACCACCUUAAAACGGUCCACACAAUUAUCUUGUUUAUCAGGCAAAAAAAUUGACUCCUAGGUACCGAAUUGGCAUGGAUUUGACAAUUAGCGAUUCACGGUUAAGCAGACUUUAUCUAUCUUAAUCCAAUCAAAGGAGAAUUUCUGCCUGCUGUGUUUGGAGAGACAACGCGUGGAUGUGAGUUAAACUUUGUUAAACCCAGGACAAGCUUUAAGAUAAAACGACUGAUAUUUAAAAUGGCAAUUUAAAUAAAAAUGUUCUCUGAUCAGCCUUU
ensembl:lncRNA BTF3-DT BTF3 divergent transcript